ensembl:lncRNA
GUCUUUCUUUUUUUGGGGGGAGGGGGGGUUGGGGGGGAGGGAAAUUUCCUUUAUUUCCUUUGUGUCGGGAGCGCUCCGGUUGGCUGAGGCUGACCGCUGAACCACGCGUGAUGGCACUGCGAGAGCGCCGUGUAAACCCUUCGUGCCCUCCGAAAACUCCAGGCGUGCUCCGGCAGCGCUGCCAUCUGCCGGCCCGGCCUUCCAGCGCAGCCCUCUGCACGUGGCUCGAUGCUCUUUAGCUGCCAGCCAAUGAACGGCGUCGCCGCUGUUCUCCUCCCCUGCUGAGCAGCCCUUCGAGAAGUGGCAGCUGCCGCUCACAGCUGCCGGGUGAGUUUGCUGCUGUCCCGGAGGAGCUGUGGCCGGGUUCCACGUGCAGAGGUGCUGCUGGCGGCCCAAACCCAACGGCGCGCUGCGGGUUUUCAGAUCGGCCCACACAGCCAGAGCUGUGCAGGAUUUGGGGGCAAAGGUUAGAAAAGAAACAGGUAGAGAAACGGAACCGCCUUCCUUUCACCUUACAAUGGCUGAAACCAACUGUGAGGUGAUCGCACGGGGACUGUGAGGUCACAGCCUGGGCCAGUGAUUGAGCACCUGGUGCAGGGGCGUAGCCAGCCCUGCGAGCACAGGUGGCAGCAAUCCCAGGGCCCUCCCAGGGUGCAGCCCUCCAUAACCUCAUAUGAGCACUGGCAGCCGCAGGGGAAGGAUCUCUGCUUGGAAAUGUCCUCCUUCGGAGUGCUGGGUGAGCCCUGGUCCUCAGAAUGGGGUAAGAGAUUCCUCUUUUGUUACCAGAUUGUGACCGCUGUCUUUCUUGGGUGAUCCGAAACUGGUUUAAAGCAGCUGCGUCUGCUGCCUCCUGUCCUUACAGAUGGCAUAAUGCUGAGGUGUGGGCCCAGUGUGUUUUAUGGGGGAUUGAGAAUCAGACCUGCUGUGUUCAUUGGGAAAAUAGAGGUGGUCUCCAACGUGCUGUUCUGAACCUUAAGUAGGAGCCCUGGGGCUGCUGGUGCCCCGAAGGCUCUGAUGUGCACACAGCCCCCGUUAGCACGAGCUUCUGUUUGGUGAUGGCUGAGCAGGUAACCAACUGCUUUGGUUUUGUGUAGCCAACCGGAGUGCACAGGGUUAAAACUGGAAAUACCUGCCUUUUCCUUUCCUUCUAGCACACAACGCCCCCACGCUAGUGUUAAAUUGGACAUGAAUGUGUGAAUAAUAUGUAUUUAAACAUUUAAUUGUAAAUCUUUGUUGUGAUGUUUACAGCCUAAGCUAGAAAGAAGAUGUUUGUCAUUUUUACAGUGCCUCAGAAAUGAUUUCUAUAUCCAUAGUUGUGAAGAGCUUUAAGGUUAUUAUUUUUUCCCCUGUGUGUGUGCGGGGGGUGUGAGGUGAGUGCGGUGUCACAGCCAGAAACACCCCACAGCCUCUGAUGUGCUGUCCCCAUGGUGAUGCUGGUGCUGUGAGCAGGGAUGGGGCUGCCCUGUGUCACCUCAUGGCACGAGCAUCUGAGCAGCUGGGAAAGGGUCUUAAAAAUCACGUGAGGUAUGGAUUUACAUGAAAGCGUUUUGCUUUUCUGAGGCCUUAAUGAGAAUCGUGAACCUGCACAGGCCUUAAUGAAUGAAGGUUAGCAUAAAGCAUCGGAACGCUGCAGGGCGGAGUGGUUCCUUUCAGCACAGUGAUGUUGGUAGUGGAGCUGUUGGACUGAUGGGAUGUGAGCCUCGGCUGUUCCACUGUGCUGCUGUUUGCCUUCCGUGCGCAGUCCCAGCGGUGCUGGGAGAGCCGCCCUGCUGGGCACUGUGCAGCCGUUGAACAAAGGUUGGGGGAUGAGGGCUGCCGUGCCUCCUGCGUCCCUGUGCUGCUCCGGGUGGCCGCAGGUGACCGAUGGCCCAUCAGUCUGUUCCACUGAAAAGCUCAUCGAGUGAGCGAGAGGCUGCUCCUCGUGUUCCCUGGUAUCCAAUACAGCCAGUGUAAAUACAUCGCGCCAGCUGUGGACACGCGAGCUGCCCCUCCUGCUUCUCCUGGCCACGCAGUGGGGUUUGCCCUCCGCUCAUCCUCGCCGUGAUUCCUUUUGUUUGUUUGUUUUAAAGCGAACCGAUCACAUUGAUCGGGGCCGGUAGCCGGCUGUGGUGUGUCCGCUGUGGGUUUGAAGAGACGUUAUCCCUUUUUUCACAAAGUAAGGUGCCAAUAGGACCCCGGCCGGGUCCUACUGCUGCCCCGCCGCCCUCCAGCAGCGUCCUUUACCCCCCCGGCUCUUCCAAAAGAGCAACGCGGUGCUCCUCAGCAACGUCAGCAGAGCACGGCACGGAGCUGUGCGCAGGCUGUCCCUAUGGCCGAGCCUGUCCUGUGCGGGGGAGGGAUGCUGGCACGGAGGUUCUCAUGAAGCAUUCGGGUUAGGGUUAAGUUAAGGAUAAGCUUCCCACUGCCUAUGCGAGAACGGAGGAAAAAAGGGAUGCUCUCUCUUCAGAAGAGCUUGACACAUUGUAUUUUAGAGCGCUUGUAUAGAGGGUAACCUACCUUGAAUUCCCAAUCCAGCUUUUGCUUACGUUGUGCUUUUUAUUGUUUUAUCUUUAUUUUUGAUAUACCUGGAAUGCAGUUUAGCUUGGUAUUAAUUCUAACUAUGUGAGCAUAUUGGCAAAACUGCACAGAUGUAAUGAUAUUCCAAUAGCAAUUGUACUGCACAAGUCAGUGAUUGUAAAGUAUUCUGUAACAAGCAAUGUUUGUCUCCUAUUUUUUGAUACCUCUUACACUUAUGUCUUUUAGAAAGACAGUGCCUCUGUAUGCUUUUUGUAUUUUUACUGAGUGAUUGUAAAUAUUUGUUAUAUUUUUGGUUAAGAGAAUGUUUAAAAGUACUGUUUAUUAUCCAAUCUAUUAAUAUGUUGGAAUCAAUAAACAAUCUAC